rnacentral:lncRNA from 1 species
AGGACUGAGCACUUUUCCGUGCUAACUAAAAAAAUAAAUUGAACUAAAUCAGUUAUAUUUGAUUUUAUAAUUAUAUUUGUGUGGUUCAAUUAGUAUUUUAUAGAAUUUUUAAUUUUCAGUUUAAUUUUUUUAGUCAAAAAUUAAAAAAUAGAACGGAACUGAAAUUAGUAAAAUACAUUGUUAUGUCAUAGUAUAUAUAUGUAAUAUUUUUUCAAGUCCCCUAACCUAAUGGAGGUCCAUCAUAGAGCAGUCGACUAGAAGUAGAUAGGACUCAUGACCUGAUUUAGAACUAGUUCUUUUAUUUUGUGGAUUUACAAAUGACGAGAGCUCAUCUGAAAUGCAAUGAGAUGCUAUAAUGGGUUUCGUUUUUAAUUAUUUCCUUCUUGUAUUUCUUUAAAAUCUGCAUUUUAUUUUGUUGAAAAAUUCCAUGACGACAGAUUCAAAAUCUAUGAUUCUAAAGCAUGUGAUAUGCACUAUUUUGCAUUUUUAAUUAUUACUUGGAAUUGGAUUGUUUGAUUUUUAUUGUUCCUUUGAUAAAUUCAAAUGAUAUUGAAAAUGAUAUUGAGGUUGUAUAUUUGCAUCUCAGUUUGUUAAGAAUUGAACACAGACUAUAUAUAUAGAAUUGGUAAAAGCCUCUUUAAAUUGCUGACAAAUUUUUAUUUGUUCACUUAAACCUCUAAUAAAUUUUUUUUGUCUAUCGAAGUGCCGAACUUAUCGAUAAUGAAAAAUUGACUCAAAAUAUCUAUUUUUGUUAUACCCUACUAUUAGUCGUUUUUACUAAUCACCUAUUCACAUUUCUCCUCAUGUACAACAUAACUCAAUUCUUAAUCAAUCUCCAUUUCCACUUCCCAUGGCAAUCCUCUUUCUCUUUGAAACCAUGAUUAUCAAGCAAUCGAUUCCUCUCUAAACGUCAUUUUCAUUCUCAAUUAAAUCUUUGUUUCCUUCAAAAAUCUUAAUUUCCUUUAUAAAUGACAAUCCUCUCCUGUAAUCCCAAAUUUAAUUUUAUCAUAUUGGAAGCAACCUGUCGACCAAUGUCGACCAGACGUCCCGAGGAUCCGACCUCUUAAUGACCUGCACUGACCUGUCCGAAGUCUUGAUGACCUGUUGACCUGUAUCGACUUGUCCGAUGUCUUGACGACCUAUCGAUCCAUCUCGGUUUCAGGCUUGAUUUGUAUGUAAAUAUCUUUUCUUUUCUUUAUUGUCUUGUGCAGUAUAGGAAGCUUAGUUUGUACAGCAUAGAAAGUUUGGCUUGUAUUGUAUAUGAAAUUUUACAUUCUUGGAUUUUCCUAAACAGGGAUAAACCUAGUGUAUAUAUUGUCACAUUAUGGUCAAUAAAAGGGGGCAAGAACUUUCAUUCCCAAAUUGUGCGAGUCUCCAUUUUCACAUGGUAUCAGACCCAUGAAGGUUGAAAAGGAAUAUGGGGAGAAUUCAGGAACAAUGAAAAACUCUUUCAAUCCUUAUACACUAAAUUUCAAUGACAACCCAGGCAAUUUGAUUACUCAAGUGAAGUUAAAAGGAGAAAAUUACAAAGAAUGGGCAAGGACCAUGUGGACUGCGCUGAGAGCCAAAAAGAAAUACGACUUUAUCAAUGGAUCCAUCAAACAACCAGAGGACAAUGCACCGGAACUCGAAGAUUGUUGGAUAGUUAACUCUAUGUUGGUUCCUUGGGUAUUCAAUACUAUUGAACCAACACUUCCAUCGACUAUUUCUCCUACCGAAAAGGUGAAGAAUCUGUGGGAAGAUAUUAAGUAGAGGUUCCCAAUUAGAAAUGGACCACGAAUGCAGCAGUUGAGAUCUGACCUAGCAAACUGUAGGCAGGAUGGUCAAUCCAUUGUUUUCUAUUUUGGUAAACUCAAAACCUUAUGGGAUGAGAUUAAUAACUAUGAUCAGAUACUGAAGUGUGCAUGUGUAGGCUUCAAAUGCAAUCUUACCAUUGAAAUGGAAUGAAAGUGUAAAGAAGAAAGAGUUCAUCAGUUUCUAAUGGACUUGGAAGAAAAAGGUUAUGGUACUAUACAGUCCUAUGUCUUGAGCAAUGACCAUUUUCCUAAUUUGAAUCAUACUUAUGCUAUGGUGGUUCAGCAAGAGCGAGUGAGAACCGUGAUGAGAAGCAAAGUUGAACGAGACAACCCCAUGAGUUUUGUAAUUCAGGCCAGUGUUCGGAAUCCAGAAGGGGAUAAAGAUAAAACUUCUAUUUGCUCUCAUUUCAAUUGAAAGGGUUAUGACACUGAAAGUUAUUUUCAAUUAAUAGGCCAUCCAGAAUGGUGGGAUGCUUGGUCUCGUGGCAACUUAGGUGUGCCUGGUAGUACUCAAAAGUGUGGGACUGGAGGAGGACGUAACAAAGGAGGUGUUGUGCGUGCACACGCAGUGCAAGUAGCUGCAUUUGAUAUUGGACAAAAAGCAAUGACAAAUGCAGAUUGAAAAGGGUUGAAUGGACUAAAUGAUGAGCAAUGGGCUGCUCUGCUAGAUACGUUAAAACUCUCAUCAGAAUACUAAUGAGAGGUUAACAGGUAACUAAAGAAAUUUUCCUUGGAUUAUUGACAUAGGAGCCUCCCAUCAUAUGACAGGAACUAAGGCUUUUCUAACCGACUUACAUGACAUUGCACCAUGCUCGGUUGGAUUGCCUAAUGGGGAGAAAACAAUGGCAGUCAAAGAAGGAACCAUGUUGCUUGGCGGGAAUUUAAAAUUAUGAUGAGUUCUUUUUGUUCUCAAUCUGAAAUGCAAUCUAAUUUCUGUCUCCCAGCUUUUUAAUGAUUCAAAUUUGGUUAUGCAACUCACUAACAAAAUAUGUGCUAUAUAGGACCCAAAUUCGAGGAUUUUGAUUGGAGUGGGUGAGCAACGAAAGGGGCUUUACUUUCUCAAAGGAGUCGCUUCAGUUCAUGCUUGCAAGCUGAGUAGUGGAGGAACCUUUGAGCUUUGGCAUAAUAGAAUGGGACAUCCAUCAUUUUAGGUGACAGACUUGAUUUCAGAAACUGAUAGAUUGUAUAGACAAACUAAUAAAACUUGUGAAGUUUAUUUUCGAGCAAAACAAACGAGAAAGGCUUUCUUUUCUAGUAAUAAUAAAGCAACAGAGUGUUUUGAUUUGAUACACUGUGACUUGUGAGGAUCCUAUACAAUUAUCGCUUCUUGUGGAGCUCAUUAUUUCUUGACUAUAGUUGAUGAUUAUUCGCGUGCUAUAUAGAUUUAUUUGUUCAAUCACAAAAGUGACGAGACAUGUGUUCUUAAGAAAUUUAUAGCCAUGAUCAAAUGUCAAUUUGACAAAAGUGUGAAAGUCAGAAGGAGUGAUGUAGCUCUCGAGCAGUCAGGAAGGGGAUGCAAUAAAGAGGCCGAAAGGAGUGAUAUAGCUUCUGACCUGUUAGGAAGGGGACAAUGAACUAAGCAGGUUUCGAUUUAUUUAAAAGACUAUGUGACUCACGCGAUCAAUGUAAGCCCUUUGUCGUACUCAUCCUCUCCAUUAGCUUCUUCUUCAGAUACUCCUUACCCUAUAGCAUAUUAUGUGAGUAAUGAUAAAUUCACUACACAACAUAGGUGUUUCUUGAGAGUGAUUACUGCAGGACAUGAACCCAUCUCUUAUAUUGAAGCUUUUCAAGAUGCUCGAUGGAGAGAGGCCAUGCACACAAAAAUUCAAGCUUUGGAGGACAAUGGUACAUGGACAAUCAAGCUUUACCUUCUGGGAAGCGCACAAUUGCUAGCAAAUGUGUAUACAAAAUCAAGUAUAAUUCUGAUGGGAGUAUUGAACGAUACAAGGCACGACUGGUUAUCUUGGACAAUAAAUAAGUUAAAGGGCUUGAUUAUCAGGACACCUUUGCACCCACAAUGAAAAUGGGUAGGGUCCAUGCUUUUCUUGUAGUCGUAGCUACCAAGAAUUGGGAAUUACAUCAAAUGGACGUCUAUAAUGAUUUUUUACACGGUGACUUGCAAGAAGAAGUCUACAUGAAAAUGCCACCCGACUUUGCUCUUCCUCUAGCAAAGUCUGUCACCUCUGCAAGUCUCUCUACGAUUUGCUCCAAGUUCCUCGUUGUUGGUUUGUCAAGCUGGCUGUUUUUUACGAGUCUAUGGAUUUCAACAAUUCUAUACAGAUUACUCCUUGUUCAUUCUUCACGUUGGAUCGCUUCCUUUGUUUGUCUUUAUUAAUGUUGAUAAUCUCAUUAUCGCAGGCAAUGAUCUUUUUGCUGUUCAAAAAUUCAAGGAGUACUUGAGCCGCUGUUUCCACAUGAAAGUCUUGAAAACCCUGAAAUUCUUCUUAGGACUCGAGUUAACCCGCACCGCUAAAGGCCUUUUUCUGUGUCAACAUAAGUAUGCCUUAUAUGUAAUUUUUUAUGUGGGUUUGUUAGGUUCAAACCAACUGCCACUCCUCUAGAACAAAGUCAUAAGCUGGCUUUUGCGAAGGAUGCUGCCUUUGCUACUCCUACUUCCUAUCUGCGCUUGAUGAGUCAUCUUAUUUAUCUCACUAUUACUCAGCCCAAAUUGUCCUACUAUGUGCAUAUUCUUGCACAAUUCAUGCAAUGACCACUGCAGAUUCAUUGGGAGGCUGCUCUCCGAGUAGUCCGUUAUCUCAAAGGCCAGCCUAGCCAGGGCAUCUUGAUGCUUGCUAAUUUUAACCUUGCCUUGACCGCUUACUGUGACUCUGACUGGGCUAGUUACUCUUUGACCCGCAGGUCUCUUAUUGGCUAUCUUGUUCUUUUGGGUGACUCUACCAUUUCUCGGAAGACUAAGAAGUAGCUGACUGUGUCCCACUCCUCUGUGAGGCUGAAUACAAGUCUAUGAUCACUGCGCCUAUAAACUUAAAUGGUUUAAAGGCCUCCUAAUCUCUCUUGGAGUGUCUCAUACUAUGCUUAUGCAAUUAUAUUGUGAUAGUCAAGCUGCUCUGCACAUUACAGCCAAUCUUGUCUAUCAUGAACGCACUAAACAUAUCGAAGUAGACUGCCACUUUAUUCGCAAUGAAAUACUCAGUGGCAACAUUCGUAUGGCCGAUGUUCGUAGUUCCAUCUAGUCGGCUGAUAUCUUCACCAAGGUCUUGGGCAAUGAUCAAUUUCAUUUUCUCCUUGGCAAGUUGGGCAUUCGGAACCUUCAUGCUCCAUCUUGAGGGGUAUUAUAAGUGACCUGCCAACCAAUGUUUACUAGACAUCCUGAGAGUCCAACCUCUUAAUGACCUGUAUCGACCUGUCUGAAGUCUUGACGAUCUAUCGACCUAUACCAGUCUUGAUGACCUGUCGACCUAUACCGACCUGUCCAAUAUCUUGAUGAC